rnacentral:rRNA from 1 species
AUUGAAUGCUGGCGGCAGGCCUAACACAUGCAAGUCGAGCGGAUGAAGGGAGCUUGCUCCUGGAUUCAGCGGCGGACGGGUGAGUAAUGCCUAGGAAUCUGCCUGGUAGUGGGGGAUAACGUCCGGAAACGGGCGCUAAUACCGCAUACGUCCUGAGGGAGAAAGUGGGGGAUCUUCGGACCUCACGCUAUCAGAUGAGCCUAGGUCGGAUUAGCUAGUUGGUGGGGUAAAGGCCUACCAAGGCGACGAUCCGUAACUGGUCUGAGGGGAUGAUCAGUCACACUGGAACUGAGACACGGUCCAGACUCCUACGGGAGGCAGCAGUGGGGAAUAUUGGACAAUGGGCGAAAGCCUGAUCCAGCCAUGCCGCGUGUGUGAAGAAGGUCUUCGGAUUGUAAAGCACUUUAAGUUGGGAGGAAGGGCAGUAAGUUAAUACCUUGCUGUUUUGACGUUACCAACAGAAUAAGCACCGGCUAACUUCGUG